UUAAGUUAAAAACUUGAUAUUCUCCAACACCUUGGACCUAAGCAGCGAAAAUCCACUGUUUCUUCUUCUUUAUAGCGGCAGCUCAUUCUUCUUCAAUUAAGAAAAAUGGUCCCCCAAAGCUAGUCAUGGAAACACAACCAAAAGUUUCACAAAAAACAGCAUAAACAUUGUCCCAAAGACACCCGAAAUCUAGCCCAUAAACACUGCAAUUCAGCUCCAUUAAACCACCAAAAAAUCAGCUACAAUCUCCACUUCCUCAACCUAGAAACACUGCUAAUACAACACUAAAAUGACCCAGAAACAACAUCUCAAACUGCUGCUAAUUCCAGCUCAAAACGUCCCUCAAACUAUCCCCAAACCCAUCAACCAUGAGCUGAAAAACAACCUUAAUUACCCAGCGAAAAUCAGCAAAAAAACGACAUCAAACAGCUCCCAAAUCGACCUGAAAAACUGCCCCAAACCUAGUUGAAAUUCCCCCACUAAAUAACCAUCAAACGAGUUAAGAUUACACAAAAUUCCUGCUCCAAAACUGCUGCAAAUCAGCUGAAAAAUAGACCUAAAGACCCCUUUUCUACACACUUGAGGACCCCCUUCUUCACAAAAAAAGAAAGGUGGAUAUCAACAUCAAUUCAAGAGAUAGUCGCACCCCCGAGAAAAAUUCCUUCUUCUUCUUUAAAAUUCACUAACAAUAGACACACACAUACAAAGGGGUGGGAGCUGCACAAGAAGAAAACGAGAAAGGAAUAGAGCACAAAAUUGGGGGUGAAAGAAUGACUGUGCAUAUUUUCAAGAGAGGACCUUUUCCUUUCUUUUUCUAUAAACAUACACACUCACAAAUGCACAUGGGAUAGAAGAUAGGACAACUUCAAUAAAUUACAAAACAGAGAUGGAUUAAACAGAGAGGAUAAGUUUCGGGCUAGAUUUAACUUCGAUCAAAGUUGCCGUUGAGGUCUUGAAUUGCCGGUUCCGUCUGUGUUUGCCGGCGAAAGCGCCAGUAAUGAGUCUUCAAAUUGUUUAACUUCUUGUAAUUCCAAUUUCAAUGAUUUAUACCGAAGGUCCGUUCUUCCAAUUCUUUUACUACUUUGUUUUAAUAAUUAUCAUGUUGCCUUAAUUUGUUGCUUGAGUUAGUGUUCAAUCCAUCUCCAAUUUUUGUUCUUUUGUUCCUUACAAUUAUUGCUUUUUCAUGCCCAUAUUUUAUUUAAUGACUACUAGAUUUAUGUAGCAGUCGGAAUAUUUAUUGACGUAUGCUAAAUGUUGUAUGUCUUGGUUAUUCGUUGUCAAAAUCUUGGUCAUUUAGCAUAAAGAACUGAUACAAUAUAGAUCAGAAGUUGAUCAUGUACUAGCCUCACUUCAUAGGAAUAUUUAUUGAUGCAAUAUAUUGGAUAUAUCUAUAGCACUGCAAAUUAAGUUCUAAGACACAUUUCUAUAAAAGCAUUAUACAACAUAGCUUCAAUUUCUUGCUUUUAUUCUACUGAUCACAAAAUUUUUCUGCUGAGUUGGUUAAAUGAAUAAUAAAUUAUCGUGGCUAUGGGUACGGUUCCCGUGACAUGGACACGGUACAUAAAUCUCAAUUUGGGUGUGCAUUCAUGUGACCCCACCAUAAUUUUAAAUAAUAUAAUUAAAAUAACCAUGUUAUAAAUUGCGGGUGCAUUUUAUGUGACGUGAUUCGCAAUAUAUACAAAAACAACGAGUGCACAACAUCGUGGCUCGUUCAAAUUAAUUCCAUAAAUCCUAAAAAAUGAUUUGAAAGUUAAAAAUGCACGCAGGUUUAGAAUGUGUAAUAAAUCAGAUAAUGAGGCCAAUUAUUAAUAGUUGAGCGACCAUGCUAAAACCACGGAACUCGGGAGUGUCUCACACCUUCUCCCGGGUUAACAUAAUUCCUUACCCGGUCUUCUGUGUUCGUGGACCAUAAAUAAGAGUCAAUUUCCUUGAUUUGGGAUUUAAAAUAAACCGGUGACUUGGGACACUAUAAAUUAUCCAAGUGGCGACUCUGAAAUAAAUAAAUAAUCCCAUUUCGAAUAUUGCUACUUUAAUUGAAAAAACUCAAUUAUAUCUGCCCUCGGGUAAAAAGGAGGUGUGACAGCUCUGGCGACUCUGCUAGGGAUAGAACCCAGAACUUCUGGUUCAGGGUUGAAGAAUUCGAGCUUAGAAUAACUGUUAUACUUGGCUUUCAUUUAUUAUCUGAUUUUUACGUGUUUGAGCCUAAUGUGCUAAUUACCGCUUUGAUAUUCUAUGAACUGUAUAUCAACUGUUACGAAACCCUUCUUCUCUCUAGGUCUUCUAAAUAUUCUGGGAAGUGUACGCUGGCGUGACUUCUUUUCUGGUAGUGUCAUAUCCUUAAUUUAAAACAAGGUUCAGACAAGUUGCAAAGCCGGAUGAUCUUUUGGUUACCGAUACACUUCCCCUCUAGGUUCGAGUUGUCUGCUCGGGUAAGUCAGGUCUAGAACAAUACACCCAGGUUUUAAACCUAGAAUAACAUAGUCUCAUGCUGGAUCCCUAGUAGGAAUGCUUGUUUGCAUCACACACAUUUGACUUUGGGGACUUAACACACGGGUUGGGUCCGUCUAGGACAAGUGUACCUAAAUUAAAAGAUCAUCCUGAUGCAUCUUACGUGCUACUUGCGUAUCUGUCUGUUUCGGCUUGCAUGUUGACUGACUUCUAGAAAAUGGAAAGAAAAUGAAAAGAAAGAAAAAUAUCGAAAAAAAAAUCAAAAGUGAGAGGUAGGUAUUUCAAAUUCGAAACACUGUCGAAAUUUUAAAAAAAGAGAGAAAGAAAUAAGUGAUUGUUUUCAAAAGUAAUGUUUCCCAUGUUGCGUCAAAACUAGCGAACUACGCAGGUCUGAUUCUCACUGGAUGUGAGAUACGUAAGCAAACUUUAUCGGUUUCGGCCCGCAAUUUUCAAAAGAAAUCCAAAAAUAUUUUCCUUUACUUCCUUAUUUUGAAAGUCUUUCUUUUAGACCCCAAUUUUUUUAAAAAAAAAUCCAAAAAUAUCUUCUUUUAAUUUCUUCCAAAUAUCCAAAAAUAUAUUCAUUCUUCUUUAGAAGUUUUUCUUUCUAAAAUUGAAAAGAAAAUUCAAGAUUCAAAAAUAUUUUCCUUAGAAGUCUUUCUUUCACAAUUUUAACAUAAAAGUCCAAAAAUUCAAAGAUAUUUUCUUUCUUCUUUUGAAGUUUUUCUUUCGAAAUUCCAAAAAAAAAUUGAAAUCAAAAAAUAUUUUCUUUCUUACGAAAAUUAAAAAAAAAGACAAAAGUAAAAAAAAAGAAAAUUCAAAAUAAAAAAAAAAAGAAAGAUUUAGUUUAUUUCCUUUAUUCCUAAUUUUCCCGAACUACGCAAGAUCUGAUUCAUGUUCCUACAUGAUACGUAGGAAACCCAAAUCAGGUUCGAUCGAAUGAUUUUGAAAAAAAGGAGGGACAAAAUAAACAAAAAUAAAAAAAAAGAGAAAAAAAGGAAAAAGAAAAACACAGUGUUUAUUCUAAUAUGCUUGUUUUUUUGAAAUAAAAGUUAGUUAAAGGUGGUUGGUUUGUUGGUUUGCAAUGGCAAGUCACCAAGAACAAUCCAAGAUCCCUCGGAAAUAAAAGCAUAUUCUCAACCAAAGGAACAAGAACCACUAUUGUUGAUCCAACUAAGGUCACGAAAAGUCAAGUAGGCAAGUUGGUGAUAAAAGUAAAUGCAACUUCUACCAGUUUUGAGAACCAGGAUAUGCUCUGCUUAGAUGAUUUGUGAUGGUAGGGAGACAUGAGAAUUUAUCCAAGUCCUUUGGCGGAUUAAGUAUUGUAAAAAUUUCCAUGUUGUCAAUCCUGAAAUCCGACAGCCAAUAUGGGGAACAGUUUGAUCAAAAGUCAGAAUUUGAGUGCUGAAUCCAUAGCAAUAAAAAUGGUCGAAUACCGUAGUAAUGCUAAUGUGCAAGUAUGUGGCUAAAUGUCGCUUAGUAACUGGAAAGUCACUCCUCUUUUAGACAGAGAGGAGUUGUGGUAGCUUAUUUUGUUGUCUUUUCUUCUUCUUUUUGUGCUAUCGGACCCUUCUAUCUUUUAUUUAAUAAAUAAAAAAAGGCAGUCAGCCAUUUGUGCAUAGUUCUUUUUACGAUAGUUCUAGUGCCAUGACAUGCAUGCGGAAUUUUUAGCCAGAUCUUAGAAAAUUGAUUUAGUCUUGAAUUUGACAAGUGAGAAAGAACACUUUUGAAGAUGAAUAAAUACAUGAAAUAUUGGAAAAUGAGUAUGAGCCAAGUUUACAUGGAACCAAAGCAGUCAUGCUCAUGGAAGUUAAGGAUCUCUACCUUUUGAAUCAUUUGAGAAGAUCAAGCUUAAGGAUGAUCGGACAGGUGGAAAUUUGUUUAGUACUAAGAGAUAAAAAGUGUUUUUCAAAAGAAGGUGUAUUCCAGACAACUUAAAAUGGAUCAGUUAGUGGCAAAAUGCAUCUUCUUCAUCAAGACAAAAUCCAAGAAAAGUCACCCGAAUUGACAAGGGGCAUUCACUACGAGGAAAGCAUUGCCCAUACAACUUUACAUUGAAAAAGACCUAGAAAGCAACAUGUCCAUCAAUGUCGUGUUGGCAUUCUCAAGGCUAGGAGGCCUUUUUUCUGCUACCCAAAUACGUUAUACCCUUUGUUACCCCUUUUGAGCCUAUGUUAUUUUCUUUGAUCACCCUCUUUUGGCAUCAAGUCUAGAGUCAAAAAAAUGAAUGAAAAAAUAACAAUAAAAGUCCAUGCCCCAAGAGUACAAACUGGGGCAACUUUUAGAAAGUUCUAAGUGAAAAAGAAGAAGAAGAAGAAGAAGAAGAAGAAGAAGAAGAAGAAUAAAAGAAUUGUCAAAGGUCCAUGCCCUCAAAAAAUAGAAGCUGAGUAGCUUUUUUUGAAAACAAAAAGAAAAAAAAAGAUAGAAAAAAAGAAAAGAAAAAACAGAAAGAAAAAUGGAAAAAAGUUAGGUCAGAUGUCUGAACUACGUUAGACCUGAUUCCUUUAAAAAGGAUAUAUAGGCAGCCUUAAACGGUUCGGUCCAACCAAAUAAGAAUUCAAAAAAAAAGUCCAGUAUCUAAAGCUGGGGAAUGAGUUUGUUUUAGUUUUUGAAAGAGUCGAUUCCAAGAGUUGUGAGUGUAUAACCCAUGAUAUUGAGUCUACUUUAAGCCUUCAUGCCAUCCUUUCUUUCAAACCCUAUCCAAAAACAUUCCAAAUCAAGACCUCCCAAUAAGCCUUCAAAAAUGCCCAAAGAAGUAUGCAAUGAGCAACAGUUGUCACACAACAUAGAACACUAUCAAGUUGCUCACAAAAGAAAGCAAAGAAGGGAAAGGAAAAAAAGAGAGAAAAAAAAUGAGAGAGUCUUGCUAGUGAAAAUCCUCACGGGCACUAUAAGGCGACAGUAAGUAGAGAUAAAUAAAUGAGAGAGACGUAUUGGUGAAAACUCCUCGGGGCACUACUAGUCGAAAGUGAGUCGUGAAACUGAUGCAAAGAAUCGUCACGAACAAGCCCGACUUCAAAGGUCAUAAGAAUGGUAAAAGGAAAAAUUAGAUCAGUUGAUAGAUCAGGCCGUUAAGUCCAAAAUGCAUGUCAUGAUCAUUAAGGCUAGCUAUUGAAAAAAAAAUUAAAAAAUGGAAAAAAAACCUUCCUUCUAUCCUUCCCGACAGGGACAUUUCUUGUUAAUAUUAUUUCUUUGCACCAUUUGUGUCCUUCACUUUGAGUCCGCCUUGUCAAAACAAGCAAGAAAAGAUUUCAAAAUCUACUACUACCAUUUCAGUUGCACAAAGUAAAUUUGACCAGCGCACUCAGCUGUUACUGUCAACAUGCCUUGGAGAAUUCACGCAAAGGUUUCUCCCCUCAAGGUUAAUCAGGGAUUCUCUGUAGUAUCGAACAAUGACUAUGAAGUAUGCACAUCAUGCAAAAGGCUCUUACCAGUUGUGAUACUCUCUGACAGACAAAUUUCUCCAAAAGCAAAAACAUUCAAGAUAUCUGAAAAGGUUAUCCAAGAAAAGAAAUCUCUUUUUUGAGAUAAGGCUGACUGAGCCGCAAAUACAAAUGGUACUGGGUAUGAAACAAUCAGAGUUGGUGCAGAACAAAAGUUUCUUGAGACCGACUCAAGAUGAUCGAGCGAAAGCCAAGCUGAUCAAGAUUCAAGGCCACAAACCGACCACCACUUUUAAAACUGACAAAAUUUUCUUUGUUUGAAAUAGGAAUGAAGCAG
rnacentral:lncRNA from 1 species